GAUGAACGCUGACAGAAUGCUUAACACAUGCAAGUCGAUGGGGAAGUGGUGCUUGCACCCUGGUAACCAUGGCGGACGGGUGAGUAACGCGUAAGGAACUUGCCUGCGGGACUGGGAUAACAGCAGGAAACUGCUGAUAAUACCGGAUAAGGUCAUUAAGCUGCAUAGCUUAGUGAUGAAAGGAGACGCCUGCGGAGAGCCUUGCGUCCUAUUAGCUAGUUGGAGGGGUAACGGCCCACCAAGGCGAAGAUAGGUAGCCGGCCUGAGAGGGUGGACGGCCACAAGGGGACUGAGAUACGGCCCUUACUCCUACGGGAGGCAGCAGUGGGGAAUAUUGGACAAUGGGGGCAACCCUGAUCCAGCAAUUCUGUGUACACGAAGACGGUUUUCGGAUUGUAAAGUGCUUUCAGCAGGGAAGAAGGAAGUGACGGUACCUGCAGAAGAAGCGACGGCUAAAUACGUG
rnacentral:rRNA from 1 species